GACAUGACUCUCGGCAAUGGAUAUCUCGGCUCUGGCAUCGAUGAAGAGCGCAGCGAAAUGCGAUACGUGGUGCGAAUUGCAGAAUCCCGUGAACCAUCGAGUCUUUGAACGCAAGUUGCGCCUGAGGCCAAUCGGCUAAGGGCACGCCUGCCUGGGCGUCAAUU
rnacentral:rRNA from 1 species